AGUGAACGCUGGCGGUAGGCCUAACACAUGCAAGUCGAACGGCAGCACAGUAAGAGCUUGCUCUUACGGGUGGCGAGUGGCGGACGGGUGAGGAAUACAUCGGAAUCUACUUUUUCGUGGGGGAUAACGUAGGGAAACUUACGCUAAUACCGCAUACGACCUACGGGUGAAAGCAGGGGAUCUUCGGACCUUGCGCGAUUGAAUGAGCCGAUGUCGGAUUAGCUAGUUGGCGGGGUAAAGGCCCACCAAGGCGACGAUCCGUAGCUGGUCUGAGAGGAUGAUCAGACCCACUAGAGCUGAGACACGGACCAGACUCCUAAGGGAGGCAGCAGUGGGGAAUAUGCGACGAUGGGCGCAAGCCUGAUCCAGCCACACCGCGCGGGUGAAGAAGGACUUCGGGUUGUAAAGCCCUUUUGUUGGGAAAGAAAAGCAGCAGGUUAAUACCCCGCUGUUCUGACGGUACCCAAAGAAUAAGCACCGGCUAACUACGUG
rnacentral:rRNA from 1 species